UAUAACUGGUGCACGUCAUUACUACUUAUCGUUUGUCAGUAGAUAUUCAAUUGAGCUGUAUUCUGAUCAGUGAACAUACUAUUGGUGCGACAAAACAUUUGUUACAGACAACGAUGGAAAACAAGGUGAUCAGACUAGUGAAUAUUUCCGAAAAUUACGAUAUGGACGCUUUGAAAGACUUACUCGAGCCUUAUUCCCAAACUGUUUAUGUUAGAACCGAUAAGUACUAUGGCGCAUAUGCAUAUGCGAUUCUAAAACCUGAAUUUGAAGUGAAUGUUGUCGGAAAUAUAAUUCGUUCGAAUGACGGCAAUAUUUGUGUGGAUGAAAUUGCUAAUAACCGGAAUUAUAAGGAAGUUGGGGUUGAACAUAAAGAGCUGGCCCACAGACGUCGCAAUUUAUUAUUUAGGUUAAAAUGUAAUUAAUAAUAAUAUUGUUAAAUUUCAAAUAAACAACUCGAUCUUAGAAUAAGUACAAGUAACUUGUCAGUGAAAUAUAAUUAGUGAAAGAUUUAUAUACCAUUCAUUACUCACAUAUUUGUUAGCUUGUAUAUUCGACCAUAGAGAUCGUUAGAACGUGGGAAUUCUAAUCUACUGCAAUAUUGUAUUCCAUAAAAAUAAUACUAGGGUUUAAAGAUUUGGAUAUCGAAUAUUUGGAAAAACUACUAACUAAUUUUUAUACACAUAUACGAACUGAUAAACUCAUAAUUAUAUGCGUAUAUAAUACUUAAGCUUCAUCGGUAAGAAAGUUACUUCUAUUAUACAAAAUAUUAAAUCAUUCACUAGCGACAUUUUCGCAUCCAGUGUUUAUCAGAAUAAAAAAUGUUGAUUAUAGAAUAAGCGUUAUCUGUAAUAGCAAGUGUUGCCAUUCAGCAAACCGACUUUCUGUGAACUGGUUAUUUUCGUUAGACACGUUCGACACCUUUGGACUCGGCACGGUUCGGUUUCUGAAUCGGAACGCAACUGUCGUGGACCCGUGCUGUGGUGCUACUGGUGCUACACACCACAUAAACUUGGGAAUAUGAAACUCAGUGCGAAUCCCCAACAUUGUUGUUGAUGUAUAAUUUGAAAUUACUAUAUAAAUAUAUAAAUCGCAAAAUU